rfam:Enterococcus villorum ATCC 700913 genomic scaffold acvIF-supercont1.6, whole genome shotgun sequence.
UCAAAUACUUGUUAGGCGAGACUCCUAAACAAACAUAGGCUAUUGCGCAGAAACGUCGAAAGACGCCAAUGUGUAAAACAGGAAUUGUCGAAUUAAGGCUCUUCAUAAGAUAGCUAAGAGAGAUUCUUUACGUUGUUUAGUGUCAAAACUCACACGAUGAGACAGUUGU